AUGUUUGUAGAUGUGCAUGUCUCCAAGAUAAAGAAAGCAAAGGCAAUUGUGAGAAGAAGAGUUAGAGAAGCAAUGCAUGAAGAAUAUGCUAGGGUUUUUGAUUAUCAACUAGAAAUAUUGAGGAGCAAUCCAGGUAGCACUGUUGCAGUAGUGCUAAAUCCAAAGGAAAGUGCCCCUGUUUUUCAGAGAUUAUAUGUGUGUUUCCAUGCCUGCAAAAGAGGUUUCAUAGAAGGUUGCAGAAAAGUUGUAGGAUUGGAUGGUUGCUUCUUUAAAGGAGCCCAGAGUGGAGAACUGUUGUGUGCUCUUGGGAGAGAUGCCAAUGGGCAAAUGUAUCCAAUAGCCCGGGCUGCUGUAGAGGUUGAGAACAAAGACUCUUGGUUCUGGUUUAUGGCCCUGCUAAACAAAGACUUGGAAAUUGAAAAUCAAGGAGAAGGGUGGGUCUUUAUAUCAGAUCAACAAAAAGGCCUCAUCAAUGCUGUGUCCAAGGUUGUUCCAAAUGCUGAGCAUAGGAAUUGUGCUAGGCAUAUCUAUGCUAAUUGGAAGAAAAAGCAUAGAGAUCAAGCAUAUCAGAAAAGAUUUUGGGCUUGUGCAAAAUCUUCAAACAGGAUACACUUCAACUUGAACAGGGCCAAACUUGCUCAACUCACACCAGAUGGAGCAAGAGACAUGAUGCAAUCAGGCCCAGAAUAUUGGUGUAGAGCUUGGUUCAAAGAAGGUUCAUGUUGUGAUUCUGUGGAUAAUAACAUGUGUGAGAGUUUUAACAACUGGAUAGUAGAGUACAGAGGGUUGCCUAUUAUCAGCAUGUUUGAAGCAAUUAGAGCAAAGGUCAUUGUAAGAAUU
rnacentral:rRNA from 1 species